AUCAUUACCGAGUUAUCCAACUCCCAACCCCUGUGAAUUAUACCUUUAAUUGUUGCUUCGGCGGGACUUCGCGCCCGCCGGGGACCCAAACCUUCUGAAUUUUUUAAUAAGUAUCUUCUGAGUGGUUAAAAAAAAAUGAAUCAAAACUUUCAACAACGGAUCUCUUGGUUCUGGCAUCGAUGAAGAACGCAGCGAAAUGCGAUAAGUAAUGUGAAUUGCAGAAUUCAGUGAAUCAUCGAAUCUUUGAACGCACAUUGCGCCCGUCAGUAUUCUGGCGGGCAUGCCUGUUCGAGCGUCAUUACGCCCCUCAAGUCCCCUGUGGACUUGGUGUUGGGGAUCGGCGAGGCUGGUUUUCCAGCACAGCCGUCCCUCAAAUCAAUUGGCGGUCUCGCCGUGGCCCUCCUCUGCGCAGUAGUAAAACACUCGCAACAAGAGCCCGGCGCGGUCCACUGCCGUAAAAACCCCCAACUUUUUAUAGUGACCUCGAAUCAGAGGACUACCGUUGAACUUUAG
rnacentral:rRNA from 1 species